GUGACACCCCACCCCACCUGACAGCACAGAGGAAAAGCCCAAGUCUAGAGGAGAUGAAGGGGCUAGUCCGGGCUCCACCGUGACCUGGCUGCUGGCACUGGGAUCGCUAAGCAGCCGGCAGAUCUGGGUCGUCCUUCCUUCCCCGCGCCCUAGUGAUAGAGGGGGAGAUGCAUCCAAGCAAGCAAACAAAUAAACAAAGGAAGAACAUCCAUGCUUGGUUAUUUUCCAUUGGACCAGCGUUGCCUCCAUGACCCAAGCCCGUGAACAUCCCCCCUCCAUCCCAGAGUACACACAAGCAGGAUUCGUGUGCAGCAGGCAUGGAAUUAGCAGCUGGGACUCGAAGAAGACAUGGAAGAUCAAGGGUCCACACAUGGUUAUUUCAAGAUUUUAUUUACUUAUUUUGAGAGAGAAAGAGAGACAGAGAAAACAAGCAAGAGGGAAGAGCAGAGGGAGAAGGAGAAGCAGGGAGCCCGAUGGAUGUGGGGCUCGAUUCCAGGACCCUGGAACCAUAACCUGAGCCGAAGGCAGACACCUAACUGACACCCAGGCACCCCAAGGAGGUACACAUUCUAACAAGAGUCAGAAAUAAUUAGAGCCAGACAGCUUUGAAGGCUUCAUAAGAGGUAAGCUGUCUUUGCUCAACUGUUACAUGUUCAUUGAACAAUUUGACCUGAAAGACACAGGAACAUCAAACAAGAUUAUUUCUUUU
rnacentral:lncRNA from 12 species